AUUGAACGCUGGCGGCAGGCUUAACACAUGCAAGUCGAGCGGAGAGAGGUAGCUUGCUACUGAUCUUAGCGGCGGACGGGUGAGUAAUGCUUAGGAAUCUGCCUAUUAGUGGGGGACAACAUUUCGAAAGGGAUGCUAAUACCGCAUACGCCCUACGGGGGAAAGCAGGGGAUCUUCGGACCCUGCGCUAAUAGAUGAGCCUAAGUCGGAUUAGCUAGUUGGUGGGGUAAAGGCCUACCAAGGCGACGAUCUGUAGCGGGUCUGAGAGGAUGAUCCGCCACACUGGGACUGAGACACGGCCCAGACUCCUACGGGAGGCAGCAGUGGGGAAUAUUGGACAAUGGGGGGAACCCUGAUCCAGCCAUGCCGCGUGUGUGAAGAAGGCCUUAUGGUUGUAAAGCACUUUAAGCGAGGAGGAGGCUACUGAGACUAAUACUCUUGGAUAGUGGACGUUACUCGCAGAAUAAGCACCGGCUAACUCUGUGCCAGCCGCCGCGGUAACAC
rnacentral:rRNA from 1 species